rnacentral:rRNA from 1 species
UGUCUAAGUUCAUAUCAACGUAUAAUAGUGAAACCGCGAACGGCUCAUUACAACAGCUAUAAUAUACUUGAUGUUGAUUUAUCCAAAACAUGGAUAACUGUGGCAAUUCUAGAGCUAAUACAUGCACCAAAGCUCGAACGUAAGAACGAGCGCAUCUAUUAGAUUAAAACCAAUCGGAUUAAUUCAGUUAAAAUGAAUAGAAUUCGUAUAAAUUGAUGACUCUGAAUAGCUUUAAAGCUUAUCGUAUGGUCUUGUACCGACGAUAUAUCAAUCAAGUAUCUGCCUUAUCAACUUUCGAUGGUAGUUUUUAUGACUACCACGGUUGUAACGGGUAACGGAGAAUAAGGGUUCGACUCCGGAGAGGGAGCCUGAGAAACGGCUACCACAUCCAAGGAAGGCAGCAGGCGCGCAAAUUACCCACUCUCAGAAUGAGGAGGUAGUGACAAAAAAUAACGAGACCGUUCUCUUUGAGGCCGGUUAUCGGAAUGAGUAAAAUUUAAAUCUGUUAACGAGCAUCUAUGAGAGGGCAAGUCUGGUGCCAGCAGCCGCGGUAAUUCCAGCUCUCAAAGUGUAUAUCGUUAUUGCUGCGGUUAAAAAGCUCGUAGUUGGAUCUGCAUCUAAGGAUCUGGUCCAUCCAAAUGGAUGCGAACUAGGAUCCUAGGCUAGUUAAGCCAGUCUUUUUUUCUAUGUUACUUUAAUCGGUUGCAUAGAAAGGGCCGGCGUGUUUACCUUGAAAAAAUUAGAGUGCUCAAUGCGGGCAAAUGCCUGAACACUCGUGCAUGGAAUAAUGAAAUAGGAUUUCGGUUCUAUUUUGUUGGUUUUCUGAACUGAAAUAAUGGUUAAGAGGGACAGACGGGGGCAUUCGUAUCGCUACGUGAGAGGUGAAAUUCUUGGACCGUAGCGAGACGGCCGACUGCGAAAGCAUUUGCCAAGAAUGUCUUCAUUAAUCAAGAACGAAAGUCAGAGGUUCGAAGGUGAUCAGAUACCGCCCUAGUUCUGACCGUAAACGAUACCAACCAGCGUUCCGUUGGCGGUAAAUACGCCUUAACGGGCAGCUUCCCGGAAACGAAAGUGUUUCGGUUCCGGGGGAAGUAUGGUUGCAAAGCUGAAACUUAAAGAAAUUGACGGAAGGGCACCACCAGGAGUGGAGCAUGCGGCUUAAUUUGACUCAACACAGGAAAACUCACCUGGCCUGGACACCGUGAGGAUUGACAGAUUGAGAGCUCUUUCAUGAUUCGGUGGUUGGUGGUGCAUGGCCGUUCUUAGUUGGUGGAGUGAUUUGUCUGGUUUAUUCCGAUAACGAGCGAGACUCUAGCCUAUUAAAUAGCUAUUGGAUGGAAAUCAUUAUUUUUUGUUAUCAUUUCAUUUAUUUUCAUUUUUGGGAAUUUUGAAAUGUAACUAAAAUAAUGAUAUUAUACAAUCCAAGAUUACUUCUUAGAGGGACAAGCGGUUUUAUUGAAGCCGCAUGAAGUUGAGCAAUAACAGGUCUGUGAUGCCCUUAGAUGUCCAGGGCUGCACGCGCGCUACACUGGAGGAAUCAGCGUGCUGUAACCAUUACCGAAAGGUAUUGGUAACCAAUUGAAAAUCCUCCGUGAUCGGGAUCGGGAAUUGUAAUUAUUUCCCUUGAACGAGGAAUUCCUAGUAAGUGUGAGUCAUCAGCUCACGUUGAUUACGUCCCUGCCCUUUGUACACACCGCCCGUCGCUGCCCGGGACUGAGCCGUUUCGAGAAAAUCGGGGACUGCUGUUUCGAAACCUUUCGGGGUGAAGAUUCUUUGGUGGAAACCGUUUUAAUCGCAGUGGCCUGAACCGGGCAAAAGUCGUAACAAGGUUUCC